CAUUAUCGUACAAAAUGUGAGGGGCAUGUGAGGGCUGUCGCCGACUCAAAGUCGUGCACGCCCGAGCGUGUCCUCUCACAUAAUAAUCCAUCUCACCCUUUGUGCAUCGCCGCGUGGGCACCCUUUGGGAUCAUCUCGGAGGGGGCUCGCGUUUUCACACAAACCCCCCUUUUAAAAGUGUAGAAUGACCUCAUUUAUGCGCUAACCCGCAAUCAAUACAACUUUCAACAACGGAUCUCUUGGCUCUCGCAUCGAUGAAGAACGCAGCGAAAUGCGAUACGUAAUGUGAAUUGCAGAAUUCAGUGAAUCAUCGAAUCUUUGAACGCACCUUGCGCCCCUUGGUAUUCCGAGGGGCACACCCGUUUGAGUGUCGUGGAAACCUCAACCUCUUUGGUUUCUUCUGGAGACCAAAGCAGGCUUGGACUUUGGAGGCCUUUGCUGGCACCUCUCUCUUUUGAAGGUCAGCUCCUCUUAAACGAAUUAGCAGGGUCCUCUUUGCCGAUCCUCGACGUGUGAUAAGACGUUUCCAUGUCUUGGUUUCUGGCUCUGUCACUUUUGGGACCCGCUUCUAACCGUCUUGACCUUGCGUCGAGACAAGUGUUCGAGCAUGUCUCCCUUCUUGGGAAGCUCCCUCGACCCCACGAACCCUUG
rnacentral:rRNA from 1 species